AAGUAAUUAGUUAAUGUAAUAACCUAAGAUUGUCAAGCUUAAAUAACUAUUUUUAGUAUUACUUA
rnacentral:tRNA from 1 species